rnacentral:rRNA from 1 species
CCAAUAGCGUAUAUUAAAGUUGCUGCAGUUAAAAAGCUCGUAGUUGAAUUUCGGGACCAUCAUGUCGGUCGUGCCUCGGUACGUACUGGUAUUGUUGGUUUCUCCCUUCUGACGAACCAUGAUGUCAUUUAUUUGGUGUUGUGGGGAAUCAGGACUGUUACUUUGAAAAAAUUAGAGUGUUUAAAGCAGGCUCACGCUUGAAUACAUUAGCAUGGAAUAAUGAAAUAGGACGUUUGAUUCUAUUUUGUUGGUUUCUAGGAUCGACGUAAUGAUUAAUAGGGAUAGUUGGGGGCAUUAGUAUUCAAUUGUCAGAGGUGAAAUUCUUGGAUUUAUUGAAGACUAACUACUGCGAAAGCAUUUGCCAAGGAUGUUUUCAUUAAUCAAGAGCGAAAGUUAGGGGAUCGAAGACGAUCAGAUACCGUCGUAGUCUUAACCAUAAACUAUGCCGACUAGGGAUCGGAUGAUGUUAAUUUUUUAAUGACUCAUUCGGCGCCUUACG